GACGAACGCUGGCGGCGUGCUUAACACAUGCAAGUCGAACGGAAAGGCCCUGCUUUUGUGGGGUGCUCGAGUGGCGAACGGGUGAGUAACACGUGAGUAACCUGCCCUUGACUUUGGGAUAACUUCAGGAAACUGGGGCUAAUACCGGAUAGGAGCUCCUGCUGCAUGGUGGGGGUUGGAAAGUUUCGGCGGUUGGGGAUGGACUCGCGGCUUAUCAGCUUGUUGGUGGGGUAGUGGCUUACCAAGGCUUUGACGGGUAGCCGGCCUGAGAGGGUGACCGGCCACAUUGGGACUGAGAUACGGCCCAGACUCCUAAGGGAGGCAGCAGUGGGGAAUAUUGCACAAUGGGCGGAAGCCUGAUGCAGCAACGCCGCGUGCGGGAUGACGGCCUUCGGGUUGUAAACCGCUUUCGCCUGUGACGAAGCGUGAGUGACGGUAAUGGGUAAAGAAGCAACGGCUAACUACGUG
rnacentral:rRNA from 1 species